ACUAGCACUUGAAGCACUGAGCCACCAUGGAAGAAGUCUGACUACCUUGAGGCCUAAUGUUGAGGAGGCCACACAUAGGUCCUCUGGUCAACAGUCCCAGCUGAAUCUGUCCUUCGGCAUUGCCCCCCAGGCGCCAGACAUGCAAGUAAAGAAGCGCCUUAGGAGUGUAUCUUCCAACUCCAGCUGUUCCAGUCCCAGCCAUUCAAGUCAUCCCAGCUCUAAAUAUCACAGGACAGAGAAAACCCAACCCUGCUAUCCUCUGUCUGAAUUCCUGACCCACAGAAUUUGGCAGAGGAAAAGGACAAAUGCCAGAGCGACAGAAUUUUCUACAGCCUUUCCGACUCUACUGUCUGCCACACAGCACUUCUGACCAGCCAAGUACAUGCAAGCAACCCUUGAGAGACCUCAGAGCAAAGCGGUUCAGACGUGUGUCUGACGGCCAGGAGAAAGAUGGCGGCCAGAGUUCUACAUUUGGAAGUUAACAGCAGACCGGUUGAUUUAAAAUCUGUGAGAACAGAAGAAAAUGCCCAAUGAUUGUGCGGGUAGGAGAACCUAAAACAAACGUGGUGGACAGAAACGCUAAAGCAGCCGGCAGGGUAGGAAGGGGAGUAGGGGGAACUCACAAAAGGGCACCCAAAGAAGGGCCCAGUGUAGAAACCAUCAGUAACCUUUUCCCAAGAGGUUUUAGGGGAGAGUGGAGACAGAAUUCAGACUGCAGUGAGUUUCAAAGAGAAGUUGGACUGAAGACACAUAGAGCAGUGAUCAUUGAUAAUCCUUUUAAGGAGAUUGGCGGGGAAGGAAAAGCGUCCAGACAGGCUUGGCAGCCUUAAUUGCUCCCUCUCCACCCUUGGGCAAGGCUGCAUGCCCCCUAUAAAUGGAGUGUGGACUCUAGGUAUGCGGACCUUGAGAAAUCUCUUUGCUCUGGCUCCCAUCCAAUUUCCUGAAACUUUCGGCUCUAUCUUCCUAUCCCUUCCUUAACCCCCGUCUGUUUUUUCCCUCUCUGCCCAGUAUGUUUUGGAUUGACACUGUGUUUGACUGUCUCUUUGGUUCUCACCCUUUUUCCUGAGACACUGCCCUCAGUUCCUUUUUUAUUCUGUGUCCUGAGGCUCUAGUCCAGCCCCUCCCUAUCUGGGCACCUAGACCCCAACUCCUGGCCUCCCUGAGCCUCCUAGUUUGGAGCAGAAGUGGUUCAGAAGCAGAGAGAUAGAUGCAAGAUAGAGGAGGAUAGAGUCAAGGAAGGAGGUGUCAGUUGGUUGUACUCUCACAGAGACUGGUCAAAGGGAAAGAACCAGCGGGGUGGGGUGGGGUCGGGGGGUGGGGGUAAAUGCAGCAGUGGGGGGUAAAUGUAGGAGAGGGGAGGAAAAGCUGCAGGGGCAAGUUUCCUGAGUGAGUGGGAUGGGGUUAAGGAGAUAAGUGGAGGUCUUGACCAGAGGAGGGAAACCUUCAGCCUCUGAGAUAAUAGAGAAGGAGAAGACAAUGAGGGUGGGUGCAGUUACGCUUGUAGGAGGUAAGGGUUUCGCUGAGAGAGGUGUGGAGGUGGGCAACAGGUUUGAACUUGUGAAGAUUUGCAUGGUCGCUCAGGGAAAAGGAAGAGUAAACUAAGCAAGGAGCAGGAUUUUGAGUUUCACUGUGAGACCAGUGGAAGCUGGAGACCCAGCACUUGUAGUGGUGCCUGUUGUACCGUGUGUCAUUUUCUCCAAAAGAGUGUUAGCCCAUGCAGACAAUCUUUCAUGAGCCAGGCUGACCAUCAGUCCUGGGGAUUAAGGUCAGUAUUCCCUGGACCUGCCUUGGUUCCUGCCUAAGGGUCAGAUGCACUGUCCUUAGGACUCUGGAGGAAUCAAUGGAAGAACCUUAAUGUCCCUCCAACUCAUCUCUUGUCUUUAUGAAAGGAAGACAAUGCUCUGCAGGCAACACAGAUGAAUUUGACAGGAGAAUAGUAAACCAUGUGGUUUACUGCAUGCUGGUCCUGCCCUAAUUGAGCCCUAAUGAGACCGAGCCUGCUUAGGGGGAUCCCUGCUACAACUGGAAAUUCUCAUGGCUCUUGCAGCCCAUUUUCCAAUAGAGACUGAGCAUGUGGCCUUCCUUGUCUUUGCCACUCAGAACGGGGAGUAACCUGGGUAAGAACUAUGAGUGAUUCUGAGGCAGGCUGUGCUCCAUGGAUGAAGUUUGAUCCAGGUGGAGGGUACCACCUGGGCCAUUCACAAGCUCCAGCAGGGUCACGAUCUUGUCAACCACUUUGCAACUGGGCUCCAGAUCCUGGCCCCUGAGCUGGCUGGACAGCGCUGCUCUGGGUAUCAUUUCCAACAGCCUGGCUGGGCCCUCCACGAUGAACUGUCUGAGGUUGCUCAGGGGCUAAAGGCAUAGCUGCUGCUGUUCUCUGUAAUGGAGAAUCGCUCUGCACAAGAGAGCUCUGCCAGGGAACCCCUCCUCCACCACCAGGAAAUGACGUGUUCCCUCAGCUGGGAGGGAAGCCAGCUAGGACUGAAGGGAUCUCCCCUCCUUUCCUUGCCAGUCCUACCUUCCUAGGAACGUUCUGGCACCCCUAUGGCUACAGGGAGCCAAAGCUCCCUUGUAGCCGAGGCCCUUAAAGUCACAAGGUUCCAAAUGCAAACGACAAAAAAAUAUGAGCCAAACAUCCACACAUUCCCAAACAAAGUGCUAGACCACCUGUGCAGAGCCUGCUGACCUGGCCAUCACCCUUCUCUACCCUGUAGAAGAGUGAAGAGGAAGAAGCUGGCGGAGGACUGACGCAGAGACAGUGCAUGGUGUGACGUGCAUCCUGCCUCAUCCAUGUUGGCUGCGGAGUGGGGGUUUCCUCCUCACCAAGAGGAAGGGGCUUCAAGGGAACUCCCAGCCAGUUUGACACCUCCUCAUGGCUGGCUAACUAAUUUGUGGGGCCCAGUGCAAAAUGCAAAUGUGGGGCCCCUUGUUCAAAAAGCAAGAAAAAAAAAUGGAAUUAAAAGUACCAAAUUAUUAAAAAAAAUAAAUAAAAGUGGGCUGUACACUUGCUCCCAGAAACAAA